UACGUAGGGGGCAAGCGUUGUCCGGAUUUAUUGGGCGUAAAGAGCAUGUAGGCGGCCAUACAGGUCCGUUGUGAAAACUGGAGGCUUAACCUCCAGACGUCGAUGGAAACCGUAUGGCUAGAGUCCGGAAGAGGAGAGUGGAAUUCCUGGUGUAGCGGUGAAAUGCGCAGAUAUCGGGAAGAACACCUGGGGCGAAGGCGGCCAGCUGGGCCGUCCCUGACGCUGAGGCGCGAAGGCGUGGGGAGCGAACGGG
rnacentral:rRNA from 1 species